rnacentral:rRNA from 1 species
CGGCGAACGGGUGAGUAACGCGUGGGCAACCUGCCCCCCAGACUGGGAUAACAGCUCGAAAGGGCUGCUAAUACCGGAUGAGCCUCUGGUGCCGCAUGGUGCUGGAGGGAAAGCGGUUCAGCGCUGGGGGAUGGGCCCGCGUCCCAUUAGCUAGUUGGUGAGGUAACGGCUCACCAAGGCGACGAUGGGUAGCCGGCCUGAGAGGGUGGACGGCCACACUGGGACUGAGACACGGCCCAGACUCCUACGGGAGGCAGCAGUAGGGAAUAUUGCGCAAUGGGGGGAACCCUGACGCAGCGACGCCGCGUGAGCGAAGAAGGCCUUCGGGUCGUAAAGCUCUGUCCUAUGGGAAGAAGGAGACGGUACCAUAGGAGGAAGCCCCGGCUAACUACGUGCCAGCAGCCGCGGUAAUACGUAGGGGGCGAGCGUUGUCCGGAAUUACUGGGCGUAAA